CUGAUAAUUACUUUAUUAAAGAUUAAGAAAGUAAGAGACAUUUAAAAAUAACCCAUAAGUUUUUUAAUUUACACUUUGAUCCAAUGUAAAACCUAAUAUAACUAGAAACGAGGAAAAAACAGGCACAUUUCUCUCUCUUCUCAUUUAUUGGAGUUUUCUCUCUCUUCGCAAUUUUUGUUGUUCAUUGUUGUUGUUGCUUUAUUCAUCAUCUUCUUCAUUAUCAUCAUCUUGUUCUUCAUUAUCAUCUCUUUUUGUUCAUCAUCAUCUCUUGUUGUUGAACAUUGUUGUUACCGCUACUGUUGCUACUUGAUCAAAUUUUUUUAGGUCAAAUUUUAUUCGUAUAUCACUUAAACAUUACUUAUUUGGUGAUUUUAGUAAGUAAAAUUAUAAUUUUUAGUUGAAUUUCUCAUCUAGGUGUAUUUUCUACUGAUGUUUUUUCAACAAUGAAUAAAACAUGUAACGUGAAUCCAAUAGAUGAGUAAUCUAUUGCACAGAUGAGUAAUCUGUUGCAACAUAUGACUAAUCUGUUGCAACAUAUGACUAAUCUGUUGCAACAGAUUAGUCAUAUGUUGCAACAGAUUACUCACCUGUUGCAACAAAUGACUCGUAUGUUGGAUUCAUGUUGCAGGUUCUAUCCAUUGUAGCAGUAACAGAUAUACCAAAUAAAAAAUUCAACAAAAAUCAUAAUUAUUCUUACAAAAUCACCUAUGCAGUAAUAUUCAAGUGAUAUAUGAAUAAAAUUUGACCUUAAAAAAUUUCAAAAAUUUUAUCAGGGGGCACAACGAAUAAGUGAAACACAUGAAAAAUUUCAUGAAACAGGUAAAGAAAACAAAAAUAGCAUAUCAUACAUCAAAUGCAAAAGAAUCAAGAGAACAAACAUUUGAGUUCUCCUAAAAACGUUUAAGUUCCCUAGUAUUUUAAUUGUUUUCUAAUGGAUGACCCAUCUGUUUAAUAAUUUCCAACAGAUGAAUUGUCUCUUGCGACAUGUUAGUUAUCUGUUGAUUCAAAUUAAGCAAUUAUUAGUAAUAACUAAAUUGAUUUACUUAAAAUUAAAGACAAGUCUUUAAGACAAUGGGACAAAUAUUUGAGUUCUCCUAAAAAUAUUUGAGUUCCCUAGUAUUUUAAUUAUUUUUCAACAGAUGGCCUAUUUGUUGCAACAAGUUAGUCAUAUAUUGCAACAAACACUUAUAACAGGUUAGUCAUUUGUUGAUUUAAAUUAAUUAAUUUUUAAUAAUAAUUAAAUUGAUUUAAUUAAAAUUGAAGACAAGACAUUAGAAAAGGUAAAAACGUUUGAGUUCUCCUAAUAAACGUUUAAACUUUAGUAUUUUAAAUUAUUUUUCAACACAUAUUUUGUCUAUUUAAUAAUUUCCAAUAGAUGAGUCAUAUGUUGCAACAACUUAGUCAUCUGUUGUAACAAUGUCUAUAUCUGUUUGAUAAUUUUCAAUAGAUGAAUUAGUUGUUGCAACAAGUGAGUCAUCUAUUGCAACAGAUGUUUAUAUCUAUUUGGUUAUUUUCAACAUAUGUUUUUAUUUGUUUGGUCAUUUUCAACAGAUUACUCAUCUGUUGUAACAUGUUAGUCAUCUAUUGAUUCAAAUUAAGACAUUAUUAGUAAUAACUAAAUUGAUUACUGAAAUAAAAUAUGAAUUAAUAAGUUCAAUUACAGUUUCAAGUAAUCUCAUAAUAAUUACACGUUCAACUAAGUAUGUUCGUCCUAAGUAGAGUGAUCAAUUGACCAAUUUUAUUUGAAAUAAUUCAAACUAAGUCAUCAUUAGAAAUAACUUUAUUGAUUUAACUAAAUUAAAGAUAAAUUAAUAAGUUCAAUUACAAUUUCAAUUAAUCUCAUAGUAAUUACAUGAUCAAUUAAGUGUGUUCGUCCUGAGUAGAGUGAUUAAUUGACAAAUUUUAUUUGAAAUGAUUCAAACCAAGCCAUAAUUAGAAAUAACUAUAUUGAUUUAACUAAAAUUAAAGAUGAAUUAGUAAUCUUUUGCAACAUGUUAGUCAUUUAUUGAUUCAUAUUAAGCCAUUAUAUUAGUAAUAAUUAAAUUGAUUUAACUAGAUUUACACAUGAAUUAAUAAGUUCAAUUACAGAUUUAAUUAAUCUCAUGGUAAUUACGUGAUCAACUAAGUGUGUUCGUCCUGAGUAAAGUGAUCAAUUGUCCAAUUUUAUUUGAAAUGAUUCAAACCCCAUAAUUAGAAAUAACUAUAUCGAUUUAACUAAAAUUAAAAAUGAAUUAGUAAGUUCACUUACAAUUUUAAUUAAUUUUAUACUAAUUACAUGAUCAACUAAGUGUUUAGUCUUAAGUAGAAUGAUCAAUUGAUCAAUUUUCAAUUGCUCAAUUUUAGUUGAAAUAAUUAAAAUUAAGAAAUUAUUAGUAAUAAUUAAAUUAAUUUAACUAAAAUUAAAGAUGAAUUGAUAAUUUUAAUUAUAAUUUCAAUUUAUUUCAUUAUAAUUACAUGAUAUCUAAGUAUAUUCGUCUGGAGUAAAGUGUUAAUUGACCAAUUUUAUUUGAAAUAAUUCAAAUUAAGACAUUAUUAGUAAUAACUACAUUGAUUUAACUAAAAUUAAAGAUGAAUUGAUAAAUUCAAUUAUGAUUUCAAUUAUUCUCAUAUUAAUUACAUGAUCAUCUUAGUGUGUUCGUUCUGAGUAGAGUGAUCAAUUGACUAAUUUUAUUUGAAAUGAUUCAAAUUAAGCCAUUAUUAGUAAUAGCUAAAUUGAUUGAAUAAUUACAAUUUCAAUUAAUCUCAUAGUAAUUACAUAAUCAUUUAAGUGUAUAACCUAUUGCAAUAGAUUUAACCUGUUACAACAGAUGCGUCAUCUGUUGAAAAUUAUCAAAUAUAUAUAUACACAUAUAUUGCAAUAGAUUAGUCAUCUGUUGUAACAAAUGUCUUUAUAUGUUGGUCAUUUUCAAUAGAUGACCAAUCUGUUGCAACAUAUGACUUUAUCUGUUUGUCAUUUCCAACAAAUUACUCAUUUGUUGCAAUAGAGGACUAAUCUGUUGCAACAGAUGUCUUUAUCUAUUUGGUCAUUUUCAACAGAUUACUCAUCUUUUGCAAUAUGCUAGUCAUCUAUUGAUUCAUAUUAAGUCAUUAUAUUAGUAAUAACUAAAUUGAUUUAACUAGAAUUAAACAUGAAUUAAUAAGUUCAAUUAUAGUUUCAAUUAAUCUCAUGGUAAUUACAUGAUCAAUUAAGUGUGUUCGUCCUGAGUAGAGUGAUCAAUUGACCAAUUUUAUCUAAAAUAAUUCAAACCAGCCAUAAUUAGAAAUAACUAUAUUGAUUUAAAUAAAAUUAAAGAUGAAUUAGUAAGUUCACUUACAAUUUCAAAUAUUUUAUAGUAAUUACAUGAUCAACUAAGUGUUUAGUCUUAAAUAGAAUAAUCAAUUGACCAAUUUUAUUUGAAAUAAUUAAAAUUAAGCAAUUAUUAGUAAUAACCAAAUUGAUUUAAUUAAAAUUAAAGAUGAAUUAAUAAUUUUAAUUACGAUUUCAAUUAAUCUCAUAGUAAUUACAUGAUCAUCUAAGUAUAUUCGUCUUGAGUAAAGUGUUAAUUGACCAAGUUUAUUUGAAAUGAUUCAAAUUAAGACAUUAUUAGUAAUAAGCUACAUUGAUUUAACUAAAAUUAAAGACGAAUUGAUAAGUUCAAUGAUGAUUUUAAUUAUUCUCAUAUUAAUUACACGAUCAUUUAAGUGUAUAACCUAUUGCAACAGAUUUAACCUGUUGCAACAUAUGAGUCAUCUGUUGAAAAUUAUCAAAUAGAUAUAAACAUAUGUUGCAACAGAUUGGUAAUCUGUUGUAACAAAUGUCUUUAUUUUUUGGUCAUUUCCAACAGAUUACUAAUAUGUUGCAAUAAAUGACUAAUCUGUUGCGACAGAUGUGUUUAUCUUUUUAGUCAUUUUCAAUAUAUUACUAAUUUGUUACGACAGACGAUCAAUCUAUCUGUUGCAAUAGAUGUCUUUAUCUACUUGGUAAUUUCCAAUAGAUUACUCAUCUGUUGCAAUGGAUGGGUCAUCUGUUAUCAAUUUAUCUUUAAUUUUAUUGUAAUAGUAAAUCAUCUUUUGUUGUUAUUUAAUUUUAGUCUAUGACCUUACUCUCAACCAAAUACAUUCUUUCUUGUAAUUGAUUCUUUCCACUCCCAAAUGCUUAAAAAUAGAUAAAAUAGGGUACUAAACUCUAGAGCAGCUUUCGUCUGGCUUAAAAAUAGAUAAAAUAGGGUACUAAACUCUAGAGCAGCUUUCGUCUGGCCGGAUGAGUAUGUGCUUAAUGUGUUGUACAUUCUGCAGUUCUAGUUGUACAAGAUAUUGCAUUGUAGCGUUAGCUGUAGAGCGGCUUUCGUGUCUGGGCCAGAUGAGUGUUUGCUUCAUGUGUUGUACCUUCUAUUGUUGGAAGUUGUAGAUUAAUGACAAGUUUUGUCAGUUUUAAUUUCUGCAAGAUACAUCCGCAGUUGUAUUAACUUAUCUCAGGUGGAUGCGAUGUCUGUUUUGUUUAAAAGAAUUGAGUUUUUAUUUGUCUUGUGUAUAUAUUGUCUAAAUUGUGACUGUGUGGUUAUCUUCUGGUUGUGUCCAAGUGUUUAACUCUUUUGUAUCAUUUUAUAGAAUAGAGUUCAGUAAUUAUCUUGACAACUACAUGCUGUUGUUAACAUGCCAAUAUAAGAAAAUAAUCUUGCUUUGUGUAUUUGAAAUUCUGAAGCUUCCCUUCUUCUAAUGUUCAACCUAGUUUCUAAUGCUUCAUUUUUUUGUCUGUGUGAACUUGCCAAUCGUGUUCUACACUGAAGAAAUCCAUACUCUUUAGACAUUUUCCAGGCAGACCUAAUCAGCUUUUAAUAGUUUUUUGGACAAUUCUAAACAUUUCCCAUUUUGAGGUAAAAAUCUUGAUUUUGAGUAAGUUAAUGAGACUUCUGUUUCACUAUAUGAAAGAUCUUGAAAGGACCCAUCUUAAGUUAAAGAUUCUAAAACACAUUGUUACUAAGAAAUCAAUUUUUUCACAAAAGAAUCCAAAACCAGAUCAGAAUUUUGAAAGAUUCUGAAAAUUUUCCAUUUUUUUCCAUGCUGAGAGCUUAAGAUGGGAGCCGAAACGAAAUGGCUAUAUGCAUUUGUUUAUGUAGCCUUUGUAUCAUUUCUCGUAUUCUUGUCUUCCAGUUUGGGAUUUAGCUUAUCCUAUUAUACAUUUUCAUCACAGAGGAGGCAUGCCACCCCGUAAAUCAUGGGCUGGGCUAUCCCGCUGCUUUAGCAUACUACAUUUCAGGUGGAGGGGAAGAUAGUGAAAAGGUUGAGAUUUUUGUUAGCUUUAGGAAUAGGUUCUUGUUGCACAUUGGUGUUGAUGGCGAUAAAGAAGAUAGGUGGAAGCUUUGGAUGCUGGUGAAAUCUGUGCCAGUAAUUCAGGCUUUUAGGAAUGUGGAUGUGGUUGGAAAGCCUGAUCUAGUUACCUAUAUGGGUUCAACCAAUAUAGCAGCAAUGGUUAAGGCAGUAUUUAUUCUGUUGAAGGUGGAUGGGAUUGGUUUGUUAGUUUAAUUGCCUCUGGUUAUCCUUUAAUUACACAAGAUGGUAAAUUUUGCUUCAGCUGAACUGAUUAUUGAUUUGGAUAAGAUAGCUUCUGAUUGACUCAUUGAUAAGGUAGAAGCUCGUAUUUGCUGAGAUUCAUGGGUUUUGAAUUUUGGGAGUUAAAUCUGCACUUCUGCUUAAAGUUCAAAUUGUUUUGAUUGUUUUUACUAAGGUCUACUGGAAACCUUCUCUCUACCUUGUAGGGGUAAGGUCUAUAUACAUGUUCCUACCCUCAUUCUCUGACUAGAGAAAACUCUUGGCAGCCUUAUCGAGCAACAUGCUGUUGCAAAAGAUUUAAAGAGAUAGCUCUUUGCUCUUAAUUCUAGUUGUUUCUUUCUUCUUUCUAAAUGCGCCAUAUGAACCGUAUCUUUUGAUUCCUGGGUGCAAGUCCCACAAAUUUAGACAAAGGAGAACAGUUUCUAGGCCAUUUACAAAUGUAUUGCAUGCAUCUUGACUAGUAAUGGUAUAUCUGGAGCAAACUUUCAUCUGCCAAGAUCAGUAUGUGGCUCAUGUCUAUUGUAAAUUCUGUUGUGAUGAUUGUGCUUUUUGAUCUCUCAAAAGAUGUACUUGUUACCUUCUAACUUACAGAAAUAGCAAUUGACAGCCUACCUUGUCCUUCUAUUUCAUAGAACUCCCGCCCUAAUUGUUUAAAGCAUAUAUCUGCCUACCUUGUAACAAACAUGACUAUUCUUAAAUUUGAUUGUCCGUUCUUUUACAGGUGGCUAGUAAAGAAAAUAAAUGACAUCAAAAGGUAAUGUUAAUGACGUAAGAAAAAUAAGAAAGGAACUGAUAAUCUUCCUACAGGUCAAUAUACACUACCACCACCACCACCUGUUACCACAAUUCUUCAACCAGCUACUACAAAUAUUCCUCCCCCUCCUAGAUGCACUAUUUCACUACCAAAUGCAUUUUUCAUGCCUCCACCGUCUGACCAGUUGCACACCUCUUCAUCCCAAAAUAGUUUGCAUAGUAGCUCUUCAUUUGUGCCUUCGACAUCAUCCAUACCAAACCUUUCUGGAUUGAGAGUUGGAGGUCCUAACACACCAACAUUGCCAUCCAUAGAUAGUGCUACAAUGCCUAAUGCUACAACAUCUGCUUCUCAGAAUUUGUAAUUUAAAGAGGUAGUAGAAUAUGACAAUGUUGGGAGGCUACGAAUCGUCCCUUAUCGUUACGGGUAAGUAACACUUAAGUUUUCCUUAAUUUUUAAAAGCUAAGAUGAUGGUUUAAUAUAAUCUUAUUGCAGGUUCAUUCCAGCAUAUGCCGCCGGGCAUAUGGUUAUAGAAGCAAUUAAACUGGAAUAGUUGGUUAGAGAUUCCAUGGAAAAUUAGAAUUGUCAUGUGGAAACAAUUUAUGGUAUAAGUAGUUUUAUAAGCUAUGAAUCUCAUUGCCUAGAGAUAGUUUUUCCAUUGUAUCCAUCAACUCAUUUUUUGACUUUAUAUUAAAUUAUUUUGCAGACAAAGUGUUCAUGGAGUGAUUGUCAUGAUAAUGAAAUAGACCGCAUUUUUUGAUUGAAAGCAGCUCUACGGGUCAAAGAACACUUGUAUGAGGCCCGGAGGAAAUUGAUCAAACCUGGUUGGUUGAAUGAUGAAGUGUGGACUCAGUUCUUGAUAUUAUGGG
rnacentral:lncRNA from 1 species